rnacentral:lncRNA from 1 species
CAGUGGAUUUUGCUUAGAUUUAAACUCAAUUAAAAUACAUAAUUGAAUACCACCACCUAAUUAUUUAAUAUUUAUGGUAUAAUUAUAUGCCUAUUUAAUAAUCUAAUUAAAUAAUAUUUUGUAUUUGUUUAUUUAGUAUUUAGUAUUUACUAUAUUUGUUUAUACAUCCAACCAUUUAUAUUUUUCUAUUUAAUUUGUUUAUUGCCUCCGCGUGGAUAUUUUUAUUUUAUAAUGUAAUACAUUUAUAAUUUAUUGACAUUGUUUUUGAACAUGUGUUGUUUAUUCAUAUUAUGUGUUUGGAUGUUAAUCCAAAUAAAAUGUUAUGUUACAUAUGUCUUAUGUAGAUGGUUAACAGCUUUCUUUGCAUCGACCUUAAUCUUGGUAUAAUUGAGUGUUUCACUGCAGAACUACAUGGGUGUCAAGAUAACCUUGGAAAAGUGUAAGCAGGUCUGUUUAGAUCACGAGAUUACUAACCUUUAUUUCUUACUAUAAAUUAGUUUAAUAAUAUAA